AGAACGAACGCUGGCGGCAUGCCUAAUACAUGCAAGUCGAACGAGAUCUUCGGGUCUAGUGGCGCACGGGUGCGUAACGCGUGGGAAUCUACCCUUGGGUUCGGAAUAACAGUUGGAAACGACUGCUAAUACCGGAUGAUGACGAAAGUCCAAAGAUUUAUCGCCCAAAGGAUGAGCCCGGCGUAGGACUUAGGC
rnacentral:rRNA from 1 species